rnacentral:rRNA from 1 species
AGUCACUGACAUUAGACUACCCGGUAGUCCCAGCCGUAAACUAUGCGCGUUAGGUGUAUCGGUGACCACGAGUUACCGAGGUGCCGAAGGGAAACCGUGAAACGUGCCGCCUGGGAAGUACGGUCGCAAGGCUGAAACUUAAAGGAAUUGGCGGGGGAGCACCACAACAGGUGGAGCCUGCGGUUUAAUUGGACUCAACGCCGGGAAGCUCACCGGAUAGGACAGCAGAAUGAUUGCCGGGCUGAAGACCCUGCAUGACUAGCUG